rnacentral:rRNA from 1 species
UACGUAGGUGGCAAGGCGUUGUCCGGAUUUACUUGGGCGUUAAAGGAGCGACGCAGGCGGUCGGUCCAAGUCGCGUGUGAAAGCCCCCGGCUACCAACUGGGGGAGGGUCACGCGAUACUGGUCGACUCGAAGGCAGGAGAGGGUAGUGGAAUUCCCGGUGUAGGUGGUGAAAUGCGUAGAUAUCGGGAGAACACCAGUGGCGAAGGCGACUACCUGGCCUGU